GUGAGUAACACGUAGGUAAUCUGCCGUAGAGUGGGGGAUAACCCAUGGAAACAUGGACUAAUACCGCAUAUACUCUUGACGCUAAAGCGUAGUAGAGGAAAGGAGCAAUCCGCUUUACGAUGAGCCUGCGGCCUAUUAGCCUGUUGGUGAGAUAAAAGCCCACCAAAGCUACGAUAGGUAGCCGACCUGARAGGGUGACCGGCCACAUUGGGACUGAGAUACGGCCCAGACUCCUACGGGAGGCAGCAGCUGAGAAUCUUCCACAAUGGACGAAAGUCUGAUGGAGCGACAUCGCGUGAGGGAUGAAGGCCUUCGGGUUGUAAACCUUGGAAAUUAUCGAAGAAUGAGUGACAGUAGAUAAUGUAAGCCUCGGCUAACUACGUGCCAGCAGCCGCGGUAAUACGUAGGAGGCAAACGUUGCUCGGAUUUACUGGGCGUAAAGGGUGAGUAGGCGGAACUAUAAGUCUAAGGUGAAAUAUCGAAGCUCAACUUCGGAGACGCCUCGGAUACUGUGGUU
rnacentral:rRNA from 1 species